GCCUCCGUAGCUCAGUGGUAGAGCGACUGCCUUGUAAGCAGUAGGUCGUGAGUUCAAAUCUCAUCGGAGGCU
rnacentral:tRNA from 5 species